GCAACUCGCUCACCUCCCGCUGUGUGGCAUCGCUGCUUCGUCCAGCUACUUCCGCCGCCCCGACAAUUCAGUCCAGCGCCAGCCGCAACUCGCUGCGCCGCAGGGCACACCGCCAAAAGCCGUCCCGACUUCGACGGCUCUCGCUCGACUUGCAGGCGGCGCGCAGGGCUGGUGAGUCGCUGCGGUUUGCUGGGCGGACCUUGACUGUCCUCGAUGACUUGCUCGCCGCGACCGUCAGCGCCGACAGCCGUGGCCAGGAUGUCGAGCCACGUUAACCGAGUUUCGCCAUCGUAUUUCGCCCGACAUCGGUUUCUGCCGAAACGCUCGUCUGCCUCCCUCGACCCGCUCGAACGCUCAAGCUCUGCUGCACCUCCGAGAGAAGGAGAUCGAGGUAGCAGGACUUGCAUAACCUUCAGUAGCUCAUACAGGUUUCCCUCGUUGCAACCCGAGAUUCUGCCACCUACCAU
rnacentral:misc_RNA from 1 species